ACGAGCGGCGGACGGGUGAGUAAUGCUUGGGAAUAUGCCUUAUGGUGGGGGACAACAGUUGGAAACGACUGCUAAUACCGCAUGAUGUCUACGGACCAAAGUGGGGGACCUUCGGGCCUCACGCCAUAAGAUUAGCCCAAGUGGGAUUAGCUAGUUGGUGAGGUAAUGGCUCACCAAGGCGACGAUCCCUAGCUGGUUUGAGAGGAUGAUCAGCCACACUGGGACUGAGACACGGCCCAGACUCCUACGGGAGGCAGCAGUGGGGAAUAUUGCACAAUGGGCGCAAGCCUGAUGCAGCCAUGCCGCGUGUGUGAAGAAGGCCUUCGGGUUGUAAAGCACUUUCAGUAAGGAGGAAAGGUUAAGUGUUAAUAGCACUUAGCUGUGACGUUACUUACAGAAGAAGCACCGGCUAACUCCGUGCCAGCAGCCGCGGUAAUACGGAGGGUGCGAGCGUUAAUCGGAAUUACUGGGCGUAAAGCGUACGCAGGCGGUUUGUUAAGCGAGAUGUGAAAGCCCCGGGCUCAACCUGGGAACUGCAUUUCGAACUGGCAAACUAGAGUGUGAUAGAGGGUGGUAGAAUUUCAGGUGUAGCGGUGAAAUGCGUAGAGAUCU
rnacentral:rRNA from 1 species